rnacentral:rRNA from 1 species
AGCAGCCGCGGUAAUUCCAGCUCCAAUAGCGUAUAUUAAAGUUGUUGCAGUUAAAAAGCUCGUAGUUGAACUUCGGGAUCAAUUGAUUGGUCAUGCCAUUGGUAUGUACUGGUCAUAUUGGUUCUCACCUUCUAAGGAACCAUAAUGUCAUUCAUUUGAUGUUUUGGGGAAUUAGGACUGUUACCUUGAAAAAAUUAGAGUGUUUAAAGCAGGCUAACGCUUGAAUACAUUAGCAUGGAAUAAUGAAAUAGGACAUCGCAUUCUAUUUUGUUGGUUUCUAGGAUCGAUGUA